rnacentral:rRNA from 1 species
CCUACGGGUGGCAGCAGUGGGGAAUAUUGCACAAUGGGGGAAACCCUGAUGCAGCGACGCCGCGUGAGCGAUGAAGUAUUUCGGUAUGUAAAGCUCUAUCGGCAGGGAAGAAGAUGACGGUACCUGACUAAGAAGCCCCGGAUAACUACGUGCCAGCAGCCGCGGUAAUACGGAGGGGGCAAGCGUUAUCCGGAUUUACUGGGGGUAAAGGGGGCGCAGACGGCAGCGCAAGCCAGGAGUGAAUGCCCGGGGCCCAACCCCGGGACUGCUCUUGGAACCGGGCGGCUGGAGUGAAGGAGGGGCAGGCGGAAUGCGUGGUGUAGCGGUGAAAUGCGUAGAGAUCAGGAGGAACACCGGUGGCGAAGGCGGCCUGCUGGCCUGCGACUGACGUUGAGGCCCGAAAGCGUGGGGAGCAAACAGGAUUAGAUACCCGUGUAGUC